UACGUAGGGGGCGAGCGUUGUCCGGAUUCAUUGGGCGUAAAGAGCUCGUAGGCGGUUCAGUAAGUCGGGUGUGAAAUCUCCGUGCUCAACACGGAGCGGCCACCUGAUACUGCUGUGACUCGAGUCCGGUAGGGGAGUGUGGAAUUCCCGGUGUAGCGGUGAAAUGCGCAGAUAUCGGGAGGAACACCAGUAGCGAAGGCGGCACUCUGGGCCGUGACUGACGCUGAGGGGCGAAAGCGUGGGUAGCAAACAGG
rnacentral:rRNA from 1 species